ACAGCCAAGAGUAGCUAAAGAGGAGAAGCUUAGAUGCUCAUUGAUUCUUCCAGAGAGAUUCAAAAUUGGUCAUGCAAAAGAGCAAAACCUAUAUAUGAAGCUGAUUUCCUCUUACUUUCAUGAAUUUAGAUGAGAAAUGAAAUUUUCAAAUAUCAGACUGGAAACAAUGCUCAGAAUUCCUAUUUUUUCCAUAAAGAAACAUUUAAAAGGAAAGUGUGCAGAGCCAAGCCUGACUUCAGCCAGUCAGAGAUUCUACAGACUGAGGCUAUGUCAGGCCAUUCCUUAGGUAGAAUGUGGCUAUGAAUAUCAAUUUUCAUUUUGGAAGUAUCACAGGAGAAGCACUCCUUGAAUGAUAAUGUUUUCUGUGUGAAUGCUACUGUCCUUCCUGUCCCUGGUUCACAGG